CGGCACGGGUGAGUAACGCGUAUGCGACCUGCCCGUUGCAGGGGGAUAAUCGGGAGAAAUCCCGUCUAAUACCGCGUAACGCCGCGGGGCUGCAUGGCCCUGCGGCCAAAGGGAGCGAUUCCGGCAACGGAUGGGCAUGCGUGAUAUUAGCUAGUUGGCGGGGCAAUGGCCCACCAAGGCGACGAUGUCUAGGGGUUCUGAGAGGAAGGUCCCCCACACUGGUACUGAGACACGGACCAGACUCCUACGGAAGGCAGCAG
rnacentral:rRNA from 1 species